UCGCUCCUACCGAUUGAAUUGUCCGGUGAAGCUCUAGGACCGAGCCAUGCGAGCUGGUUCGCUAGCUUACGUGGUUUGGAAAUUGCGCUAAAUUGUAUCAUUUAGAGGAAGGAG
rnacentral:rRNA from 1 species